GAUGAACGCUAGCGGCAGGCCUAAUACAUGCAAGUUGAACGGUGUCUUCGGACAUAGUGGCGCACGGGUGCGUAACACGUAUGCAACCUACCUUACAUUGGGGGAUAGCCUUUCGAAAGGGAGAUUAAUACCGCAUAAGACAGUAGCUGGGCAUCCAGCAGCUGUUAAAGAUUUAUCGAUGUAAGCUGGGCAUGCGUCCAAUUAGCUAGUUGGUGAGGUAACGGCUCACCAAGGCAAUGAUUGGUAGGGGAACUGAGAGGUCAAUCCCCCACACUGGCACUGAGAUACGGGCCAGACUCCUACGGGAGGCAGCAGUAGGGAAUAUUGGGCAAUGGACGCAAGUCUGACCCAGCCAUGCCGCGUGCAGGAUGAAAGCGUUAUGCGUUGUAAACUGCUUUUAUACAGGAAGAAACGACUCUUGCGAGAGGCAUUGACGGUACUGUAUGAAUAAGCACCGGCUAACUCCGUGCCAGCCGCCGCAGUAACAC
rnacentral:rRNA from 1 species